rnacentral:sRNA from 1 species
GCUGGGCAUGGUGGUGCACACCUGAAAUCCCAAUGGCUUGGGAGGCUGAGGCAGGAGGAUCACAAGACUAGUCUCAGCAAUUCAGCAAGGCCCUGAGCAACUCAGUGAGACCCUGUCUCUA